AUGAAAGGAAAGUCACUUAGAGGAAAAUGGUGGGUUUCGGGAGAAAGUGGGACUUCGGGUGGCAGAGGCAGCACAGAGGAAGCAUUUAUGACCUUCUACAGUGAGGUGAAACAAACAGAGAAGAGAGAUUCUGUUCUAACAUCCAAAAAUCAAAUUGAAAGAUUGACCCGUCCUGGUUCCUCUACUUCGAUUUGAACCCAUUUGAGGUUCUUCAGAUAGAUCCUGAAGUCACAGAUGAAGAAAUAAAAAAGAGGUUUCAGCAGUUAUCCAUACUGGUGCAUCCUGACAAAAAUCAAGAUGAUGCUGACAGAGCACAAAAGGCUUUUGAAGCUGUGGACAAAGCUUACAAGUUGCUCCUGGAUCAGGAACAAAAGAAGAGGGCUUCAUAGGCCCUGGAUGUAAUUCAGGCAGGAAAAGAAUAUGUGGAACACACUGUGAAAGAGUGAAAAAAAAACAAUUUAAAGAAGGAAGGAAAAAAAAAAUAAAAAAAAAUAAAGAAGGAAGGAAAGCCUACAGUUGUAGAGCAGGAUGAUCCUGGGUUGUUCAAACAAGCAGUAUAUAAACAGACCAUGAAACUCUUUGCUGAGCUGGAAAUUAAAAGGAAAGAGAGAGAAGCCAAAGAGAUGCAUGAAAGAAACGACAAAGGGAAGAAGAGAUUGAAGCUCAAGAAAAAGCCAAACGAGAAAGAGAGUGGCAGAAAAAUUUUGAGGAAAGUCGAGAUGGUCGUGUGGACAGCUGGAGAAACUUUCAAGCAAAUACAAACAGAAAGAAAGAGAAGAAAAAUCGGACCAUCCUGAGACCACCGAAGGUAAAAAUGAAGCAGUGUGAGUGACCAUCUAGGGUCACAGCCACAGAAUCUUCCCCAGCUGUCUCCCUUCCUGCUUUGAUGGACUCAUUCUUUCCCCCCACUUCUACCCCAACACAGAGUUGUAUUGCUUUUUAGUCCAUUUUGUUUUCAAUCCAAUUUAAUAUUGAUCAGAUUAAUUCUUUUGUACAUUGAAAUAAGGGGCUUGGUUAAAAAAAAGACCUUCCCCUCCGCCCUGCCCUUAGAACAAGCUUAGAACAACCAGAUUGGAAGGUACCACCAUGGGUGCUGUCUUCUCUUCCCACAGCCAGUAACUUAAUGUUUUGUACUUCACUGAAUUGUGAUGGUUAGAAACUUCGCGUAUAAUUUUUAGAAAUCAUCCAGUUAAACAUAUUGCUUAAAAUGGUGUUCUGUGACUUCAGAGUCAAG